rnacentral:sRNA from 1 species
GAGAACAAACAGGGAUUGCCUCAGUAACGGCGAGUGAAGCGGCAACAGCUCAAAUUUGAAAGCUGGCCCCCCCGGGGGUCCGCGUUGUAAUUUGUAAAGGAUGAUUCGGCGAGGGCUCCCGCCUAAGUCCCCUGGAACGGGGCGUCAUAGAGGGUGAGAAUCCCGUAUGCGGUGGGCUGCCUUAGCCAUGUGAAUCUCCUUCGACGAGUCGAGUUGUUUGGGAAUGCAGCUCUAAAUGGGAGGUAAAUUUCUUCUAAAGCUAAAUACCGGCCAGAGACCGAUAGCGCACAAGUAGAGUGAUCGAAAGAUGAAAAGCACUUUGGAAAGAGAGUUAAAAAGUACGUGAAAUUGUUGAAAGGGAAGCGCUUGCAUCCAGACUUGUCCGCAGUUGCUCAGCCGGUCUCCUGACCGGCGCACUCUUCUGCGGCCAGGCCAGCAUCAGUUCGGGCGGUCGGAUAAAGGCCCCGGGAACGUAGCUCCUCUCGGGGAGUGUUAUAGCCCGGGGUGGAAUGCGGCCAGCCUGGACUGAGGAUCUCGCUUCGGCUAGGAUGCUGGCGUAAUGGCUGUAAGCGGCCCGUCUUGAAACACGGACCAAGGAGUCUAACAUCUAUGCGAGUGUUUGGGUGUCAAACCCAUGCGCGUAAUGAAAGUGAACGGAGGUGGGAACCCUCGCGGGUGCACCAUCGACCGAUCCUGAUGUCUUCGGAUGGAUUUGAGUAAGAGCAUAGCUGUUGGGACCCGAAAGAUGGUGAACUAUGCCUGAAUAGGGUGAAGCCAGAGGAAACUCUGGUGGAGGCUCGCAGCGGUUCUGACGUGCAAAUCGAUCGUCAAAUUUGGGUAUAGGGGCGAAAGACUAAUCGAACCAUCGACUACUAGGUGGUUAAGAGGUGGCUGAAAGUGCCCACCUAGUCCCCCCGUCCUCGGACGGGGGGGCGACAUCGCCAAAUUGCGGGGACUCCCUUAGAGCCUCUACUACCGCGGCCGGCCGAAAGGCGCGGUGCAGCACCGGGUUAAUUGCCUAGGGUACGGUAAAAAGGUAGAGGAUUGGGAAAUCCGCAGCCAAGCGCCUAAGUCCCGCGGGAUACGGCGAAGGUUCAGAGACUAGAUGGCGGUGGGUCCGGCCCGAGGGCCGGGCCUAAGGUAUAGUCCACCCCCCGCGGAGACGCGGGC